rnacentral:rRNA from 1 species
AACAGGAUUAGAUAGCCUGGUAGUCCACGCCGUAAACGAUGGAUACUAGCUGUUGGGCGCAAGUUCAGUGGCUAAGCGAAAGUGAUAAGUAUCCCACCUGGGGAGUACGUUCGCAAGAAUGAAACUCAAAGGAAUUGACGGGGGCCCGCACAAGCGGUGGAGCAUGUGGUUUAAUUCGAUGAUACGCGAGGAACCUUACCAAGGCUUAAAUGUAGAUUGACCGGUUUGGAGACAGACUUUUCGCAAGACAAUUUACAAGGUGCUGCAUGGUUGUCGUCAGCUCGUGCCGUGAGGUGUCAGGUUAAGUCCUAUAACGAGCGCAACCCCUGUUGUUAGUUGCCAGCGAGUCAUGUCGGGAACUCUAACGAGACUGCCAGUGCAAACUGUGAGGAAGGUGGGGAUGACGUCAAAUCAUCACGGCCCUUACGCCUUGGGCUACACACGUGCUACAAUGGCCGGUACAGAGAGCAGCCACUGGGUGACCAGGAGCGAAUCUAUAAAACCGGUCACAGUUCGGAUCGGAGUCUGCAACUCGACUCCG